AAUCAACGCUGGCGGCGUGCCUCAGACAUGCAAGUCGAACGCGAAAGGUUCCUUCGGGAACCGAGUAGAGUGGCGCACGGGUGAGUAACACGUAGGUAAUUUGCCUUUGGGUGGGGAAUAACAGCCGGAAACGGCUGCUAAUACCGCAUAAUGCAGCGGCUCGACAUCGAGACAGUUGUUAAAGCGGGGAUCGCAAGACCUCGCGCCUAAAGAGAAGCCUGCGGCAGAUUAGCUAGUUGGUAGGUAAUGGCCUACCAAGGCGACGACGGGUAGCCGGCCUGAGAGGGCGACCGGCCACACUGGGACUGAGACACGGCCAGACUCCUACGGGAGGCAGCAGUGGGGAAUCUUGCGCAAUGGGCGAAAGCCUGACGCAGCGACGCCGCGUGAGGGAUGACGG
rnacentral:rRNA from 1 species